UACGGGGGGAGCAAGCGUUGUUCGGAUUUACUGGGCGUAAAGGGCGCGUAGGCGGCCACCGCAAGUCGACUGUGAAAUCUCUGGGCUUAACCCAGAAAGGUCAGCCGAUACUGCGGGGCUAGAGUGCAGAAGGGGCAACUGGAAUUCUCGGUGUAGCGGUGAAAUGCGUAGAUAUCGAGAGGAACACCUGCGGCGAAGGCGGGUUGCUGGGCUGACACUGACGCUGAUGCGCGAAAGCUAGGGGAGCGAACGGG
rnacentral:rRNA from 1 species